CUCCAGAGCCCUUUGUGUUCCUCUAUUAUCUUUUCCUCAUUUUUCUCUUUCCGUUUACCCUCCCUAUUCUUGCCGUUUUUCUCUGCCCUUCCGCACAAGAACCACAAAUUUCUCCCUAACAAUUCCAAACCAUUUAACCCCCAAUUCUAUUUCUAAGUCCAUAUUCUCUUUUACCUUUUAUCUUUUAUCUUUUUUCCUUUAAUGCCUUUUAACAGGAUUAACCCAUGAUAAUGGAGAUGGGAAGAUCAAAAAGACGGAAUUUAUUGCUAUAUUGAAACAGGGCAAAUCCAAAAGUGAAUAUGGAAAUUACCAUCGAAAAGACUCAUGCUUGAACCCCCGACCUGAAUUUCUACCAACAUGCUAAGUGAAUAUGAAAGUGAAAGAUCUAAAGGAUUGUUCUAUAUUCUUUUCUCCGAGUUAGCAAAUGCCACUGGCGUUCUAUAGUGUUAGGAAGUUAAAUAUAUGGCUCAACUUUAGGAUGGAAUACUAGCGCCAACAUUCUACAAGGUGGAAUUUGAUUUGAAAGGUUAUUUCCACCCUUGGUCAAAAAUUUUUGAGACAAUGAAAAAGGAAGAGAAAAGAAGGUUAUACUGACGAUGAAGACAUGGUGUAAGUGAGGGCUAUCGUCUCUUGAUAAAGUUUUAAGAUGCAUCUAGAGAUGAGGUGAAAGCGGAAAGUAGUGACAAUGCUGGUUUAGAGCUUUUUUGAGCUUCCAAUGUUUGGGUAAUACAUUCCCAAUGAUUAUUAAAGGACUUAUCUGGAAAAAGGCUGUUCACUAUAAUGACAUCAAGUAUCCGUUGUUAUCUAGCUGAGUGAUAUUCUAUACCCUUUAUCAGCCAACCUUGUGAAGAGGAUUGACUAUGAAAGAGCAGUUGUUGCAUUGACCGUUCUCAUUUAAGUUAAAUGUAGCAGUAUUUACGUAAAAUACUUUCUGGCUGUUUUAUUGUCAUUUGAGGAAUUAUCAAUGAGGAAAGCAAUUUUAUUGUUUUGGGAUGUUA